AACACAGAAUUGUUCCUUUGGCUACAUACAUGUGAAUCUACAAGAAAGGUGAUAUUGUAGACAUCAAGGGAAUGGGCACAGCUCAAAAAGGAACGCCCCACAAAUGUUACCAUGGCAAAACUGGAAGAGUUUACAAUGUUAGCUCA